UACGAAGGGGGCGAGCGUUGUUCGGAAUUAUUGGGCGUAAAGGGUGCGUAGGCGGGUCUUUAAGUCAGGGGUGAAAUCCUGGAGCUCAACUCCAGAACUGCCUUUGAUACUGAAGAUCUUGAGUUCGGGAGAGGUGAGUGGAACUGCGAGUGUAGAGGUGAAAUUCGUAGAUAUUCGCAAGAACACCAGUGGCGAAGGCGGCUCACUGGACCGGUACUGACGCUGAGGUGCGAAAGCGUGGGGAGCAAACAGG
rnacentral:rRNA from 1 species